AGGAAAUGAAACUGACAUGGAUGAACUUUAAGCAGACUUCUCAACAUUAUAAUAACAAAAGCUAGCUGACUCCUGGUAGAAGACUGGCGCCAGAGUGAAUAUAGUGGCGACGGUGUAAUAUUCACGCUAAUAGAUUCAAACGUGUAAGAUAAGUGUUAAAUGAUUGGGAACUCUCUUGGCUACGGGACGCCCAUGGAUAAAUGAAUACAUGGCAACCGAAACUGUAUUUAUAUAGAUGUGACGUCACAGAGCAUGGCGUCAAGCCAAAACUACCCCAAUACAAACACCGUUCCAGGGCG
rnacentral:lncRNA from 1 species